rnacentral:rRNA from 1 species
UACGUAGGGGGCUAGCGUUGUCCGGAAUCAUUGGGCGUAAAGCGCGUGUAGGCGGCUCGGUAAGUCUGCUGUGAAAGUCCAGGGCUCAACCCUGGGAUGCCGGUGGAUACUGUCGAGCUCGAGUCCGGAAGAGGCGAGUGGAAUUCCUGGUGUAGCGGUGAAAUGCGCAGAUAUCAGGAGGAACACCAUGGCGAAGGCAGCUCGCUGGGACGUGACUGACGCUGAGACGCGAAGCGUGGGGAGCAAACAGG